GAUGACUGUGAGACAAGGGAACAGCUGAGAUCAAACGGGUUGGUUUUCAUCACCGGAUGGAGGGAGGUAGCGUCUCUAGACUUACUUCUGAGAUAAACCCAUGGAUUAUGACGACAAUGACUUUCAAAGCCAGAAUCUUCAUUUAGCUGGUGAAGGAAGCGCCAAAUUCCCUCCUGUUCUUCGACAAUAUGGUCUUCCGAAGUUUGAUUUUGAUGACACCCUUCAGGGGCAUGUAAGAUUUGAUAGCUUGGUUGAAACUGAGGUGUUUUUAGGUAUUGAGAAUAACGAAGAUAAUCAGUGGAUUGAAGAUUAUUCUCGUGGAAGUAGUGGGAUAGGGUUUAGUUCUUGUGCAGCAGAAUCUUGUUCUAUAUUGAGACGGAAAAAUGUUUGGUCUGAGGCCACUUCCUCUGAAUCUGUUGAAAUGUUAUUGAAAUCCGUUGGGCAGGAAGAUAUCAAUUUGGCACCAUCUGUUACUGGGGAGUCAAAUGCUCGUGAUAAAUUGGAUUACUUAACAAAGCCAAUGGAUCCUACUUUAAAAGACGAUGGUAGUAGUUUCUGUGAAAUUGGGGAUUUACAGCCCACAUUGCUACCAGAUAUAAGUUUUGAGGAAUUGCAUGUUGUUAAUCAGGAUAUAAGAGGGGAGCAACAACAGCCGCAGAGGGAUGGUUCUAUUGAAUUUCAAGAGGUUCGGUCUGUUGAUGGAAGUUUAAGUGAGGUUGAUCCUAGUGUUGUCCAUGAACUUGUUGACGUGCCUGCAAGUGAGGGAACUGCAGCUAUUGAUGAAAAUAGUAAGCAAACCAGUCCAAGUACAACUGAUACUUCUGUUGCCAUAUCCUUCGAAGACAAAGGGCAAGAUGAUUUUUCUGCUUCAGGGAAGCAUAUAGAUGAUUUGGCUACUUGCACGCAAACAGGCAGUGAAAAGUUGAGCAAUCAAAAAAUUCAACACCAAAUAAAUGAUUUAUGUGAUAAUCCUGAAAAUACACAGACAGGCAAUACUGAACAUGUGGUCAAUUCAGAUGAGUUGAGUAAAGAAGACCAAAACCGUCUUUUAUCACCUUCAGAUGCAGGAAAAAUAUUGGUUGUUGAUUCUAGUAUUGCUAAUUUGCAGUCCCAAGCAAGUAUGGUGUUGCAGGGGGAUUGUGUUUUCCAUUCAGGUAGUGGAGAGGUCAGGUCGGAAGUUCCUGGUGAAACUGGUAAGUUUGAUGAUAAGGUCUUAUGUACUGGUGCGGAGAUUGGGAAUCCGUCUAAUGCGAGCAUGCAGGAGGUAUUGCCUACAGUUGUUGAAGGUGAUGCUGGAACUGCAGCCUGCACAGGUGAGGUGAAAAACAUUAAUGAUGAAGUUUGUGCCUUUCAAGGGCCUAAGAUGGAUUCAAAUGAGCAGAUGGCUUAUACUCAGAAAGUAAUUGUUGAGGAGCAGCCAUGUUUUCCCUUGGCCAUUGAGUUACAGAAUAGUAAAUCCGAGUCUUCUGCAUCUGCCAUGCAGGAAAGUAAUGUCUCUAAGGUGGGUGAAAACAUUAGAGAAAUUCCUGAUAAAUUUCCAGAGAAAACACAUGAUAUUAGCAGUUCAAGAGAUGUUCAUGACUGCGCACUUCCCACAGAAACCUUGUAUUCUGAAAGACAUAUGCCAUCUACCACUUUGGCUGAAUCAACACAAUUAUGUGAGGAAAAUAAACUGUGCCAGCCAAGCGAUGUCCAUGCUGAACAUGCUUCUGUCACUGACAAGGAAGAAGGAAGAUUGUAUUCUGAUUCAAUUAGUGUGAAUGGCAAGACUGCUGAGUCUCCUGUCACAGAUAAGAGAAUUGUAUCCCCAUCUUUUAAAGAAAGUGGUGUAGAAAGUGAAAUGAUAGAUACAAAAUUAGAGUACAAUGCUAAUGCUGGUGUUGAAUCAGCAUCAGUUUCUACCUUUGCAGAUACUACUGAGGCAAUACGUGAUACAUCAGUUUCUACCUUUGAGGAUGACGAUGUGGGAACAUGUGGCACAUUACUGGGCGACUCAUUACCUCUACUUGAAACUUUGAAAGACAGCAAAGAUGCAAAUGACAAAGAGGACCAGUUGCCACCGGCUGUAGUGGAGUUUACUCAAUCAGAUAGAAAAGAAGAAAGUGUUGUGAUAAUUCCUGCUGAAGGAAGUUUUCCUCUGUUGGAUACUUCUCAACCUGUGGCUGAGUUUCAUCCUCUUCCUCAAGCUGAGAAAUCUGCUUGUAUCAUUACUGGACAGGGACUAGGUGAAAGUGUUGAUCAGUCUAUUUCAAAGAAUUUGAAUACAGAUGAUUGUAACACAGAAAGCCAAUAUGUACCUCAAGCAGACAUUGCUAAUGAUGUGAUCCAGGACUGCAGACAAGAAAUGGAUAUUGAUCCCACUUUUUUGAAGUCAGCCGCAAAAGCAUGUGAUAGGGGUGUCAAAAAGUCAGAUGAAAAUAUUCCUGACUCGUCUUUAACUCCACUGUUAGGAGAAGCACACGAUUCUUAUAAGAAAGAUAAGGAAAAUACUGAAGUUGUUUCAGAAUCUGUGGGAAUUAAUUGUCAGCAGGCUAUUAAAGCGAACACUGACAGUGAUGCAGGCAAAAAUGAAGGUUCAUUAUGUUCUGCUGCUCUUCCUCAAUCUCAUGAACAGAUGCCUGAGAAGGAGAGUGGUAAUCUUACUGCUGCUGAUAAACCUACUCCUCAUUCACCUGAUGUCGUCAAAACUAUUGUGGUGUCUCGUGAUACCAAUGGAAAGGAUAACAUUAAGGGGCCGUCAACUAAGAAUGUUGAAGUUCCAGAGGCCAAGGGUAGGCUGAUUGGCAAUGCACUUUCUGGUUCCCAGUUCCCGAUAGGAAAUAGUGUCUCUGAAAGUGAGACAGUUCUUACCUUUGAGUCCAGCUCGUUGGUAGAUCUGCCAAAAAAAGAUUCUGGCAUUGCAGUUGCACCAGCAGCUAACGCCUCUCUGGUUGUGGAGGGACCCCAAUCAUCUUCUGGCCUACCCACAAUGGACAUCAAGUGUGCUCAGGAUAUUUCGCAUAGGAGCCCGAAGGUGUCGGAGGUGAAAGUUGCACAUUCUCGUUCCAAGGGCACUCCGGAGCGUAAAACUAGACGUGCUUCUGCGAAAGGAUUGGGGAAAGAGUCAUCUACAAAGGGAAAUCACACGAAGAAGUCAGAGAAAGUAGAGAAAUCUAACAGUUUGUCCAUGAGUAAUCCUGGGAUUUUCCAGCUUGCACAGCCUAAUGAGAUGCAACAUCAUGGACAUGUGGAAUCAAGUGGUGCAAAACCAUUUGUCUUUAUUGGUGCUUCAAAUUCUAGCAUUCCAGACUUGAACAAUUCUGCCUCCUCGUCUCCAAUGUUUCAGCAGCCUUUCACAGACUUGCAGCAAGUUCAAUUGCGUGCUCAGAUUUUUGUUUACGGAGCUUUGAUUCAAGGUACAGCCCCAGAUGAGGCAUACAUGUUAUCUGCAUUUGGAGGUCCUGAUGCUGGAACAAACCUUUGGGAGAAUGCCUGGCGUAUGUUUGUAGAUAGGCUUCAUGGAAAAAAAUCUCAGCCUAUUAACCCGGAGACACCUUUGCAAUCACAAUCUGGUAGUAGGAGUACUGAACAAGCAAAUAAACAAAGUACACUGCAAAGCAAAGUUAUAUCUCCUCCAGCUAGUCGAAUUAGCAGUAAGAGUACUUCAACAGUGUUAAAUCCUAUGAUCCCUCUUUCUUCACCACUCUGGAGUAUUUCCACACCUUCCAAUGCUUUACAAUCUAGUGUUAUGCCUCGAAGUCCAGUCAUAGACUAUCAGCAGGCACUUACUCCGUUACAUCCUUAUCAGACUCCGCCUGUCAGGAACUUCAUUGGUCAUAAUCUUUCAUGGUUCUCUCAGGCCCCAUUCCAUAGUACCUGGGGUGCUACUCAGACUUCGACACCUGACUCCAGUGCGCGAUUUUCUGGUUUGCCAAUUACUGAGCCAGUUCAUUUAACACCACUAAAGGAAUCAUCUGUGCCACAGUCCUCUGCCGUGAAACCCUCUGGUUCUAUGGUUCAUGGAGCACCUGGUAAUGUAUUUACUGGGGCCUCCCCCCUGCUAGAGUUGAAAAAGAUGUCAGUAACCACGGGGCAAAGUUCCACUGAAUCAAAAAUGAGAAGAAGAAAGAAGACUACAGUUUCUGAGGAUCCUGGCCUUCUAACUAUGCAGGUUCAACCUCAUUUAAAACCAGUAUCAGCUGUGGUUACAACUACAAUUUCUACUCUUGCAACAUCUCCAUCUGUCCACCCUAAGGCAGCUUCUGAGAAUUUGAUUUUAUCUGCAUCUCCAUUGUGUCCGACUACUCAUCCAAAGAAUGCAGGUCAAGAUUUGAGAGGGAGAGCUAUAUUUUCAGAGGAAACACUUGGCAAGGUUAGGGAGGCUAGACAACUGGCCGAGGAUGCUGCACUGUUUGCAUCUGAAGCUGUUAAACACAGUGCAGAAGUUUGGAGUCAGUUGGACAGACAGAAGAACUCUGAACUAGUAUCAGAUGUUGAAGCUAAACUAGCUUCUGCAGCUGUUGCAAUAGCAGCAGCUGCUGCUGUCGCAAAGGCUGCAGCAGCUGCUGCCAAUGUGGCAUCAAAUGCUGCAUGUCAAGCAAAAUUGAUGGCUGAUGAAGCAUUGACUUCAUCUAGCCAUGAAUUUUCCUGUCAGAGCAAUGAAAUUUCUAUUCAUGGUAGUGCCGUUGGUGUAGGGAAGGCUACUCCAGCAUCCAUCUUGAGGGGAGAAGAUGGAGGAAAUGGUUCCAGUUCUAUAAUUGUUGCUGCUAGGGAGGCAGCUAGAAAGAGGGUUGAAGCAGCAUCGGCUGCUUCUAAGCAUGCUGAAAAUGUGGAUGCCAUUGUCAAAGCUGCCGAGCUGGCAGCAGCAGCUGUGUCACAAGCUGGAAAGUUAGUUGCUAUGGGUGGCCCUCUUCCGUUGGGCAAAUUAGUGGAAGCUGGUCCGGAGGGUUGUUGGAAAGUACCUCAAGUGUCUUCUGAGCUAGUUAUGAGAUCAGAUGAUGUUAAUGGAGGAUGUACCAGUUCAGCAAUUAAGCAUCCUGGAGAGCGACCAUCAGGUAAGAAUGAAAUUCAGGUAAGUGUCAACGCCAAGGCAUUAAUUCCUGGAGAAAUAUCCAUGGGUUCUGUUGAGAAUCAUCCCAGAUUGUUCGAUGGCAUCACAAGUAAAGUAGCUCCUCGUGAGAAGGAUGUGAGAGGGCAGAAGGACCAAAAUGCUUCUGAUUUGACAAAAACCAUUGGUGUUGUUCCAGAAUCCGAAGUUGGGGAAAGAUCCUCCCAGGACAACUGUGAAAAGACUAAGGAUUUAAGGCAGAGUAGCAUCAAGGAAGGUUCCCAUGUCGAGGUUUUCAAGGAUGGAAAUGGAUUAAAAGCAUCUUGGUUCACAGCCAAUGUUCUGAGUUUGAAGGAAGGGAAAGCUUACGUUUCCUACACUGAACUUCUACCUGAAGAAGGGUCAGGCCAACUAAAGGAGUGGGUUGCUCUUGAUGGUCAAGGCGGUAUGGCACCAAGAAUACGGAUUUCUCGUCCUAUGACUACCUUGCGAAAUGAAGGAACAAGGAAGAGACGGAGAGCAGCUGCAGGGGAUUACAUCUGGUCAGUUGGAGACAAAGUUGAUGCUUGGAUGCAGAAUAGCUGGCAUGAAGGAGUGGUUGUUGAGAAGGAUGCAAAAGAUGAAACAACAUAUAUUGUCCGCUUCCCAGCUCGAGGGGAAACAUCAACUAUCAAAGCUUGGAAUCUCCGACCUUCUCUCAUAUGGAAAGAUGGGGAAUGGUUUGAGUUUUCCGGCUCAUAUGUUAAUGACUAUUCUCAUGAGAUUGUCGUGCCUCAGGAAAAGCGCAUGAAGUUGGGUAGUCCGGCUGCAGAGGUGAAAAGGAAGGAUAAAAUGCCAACGAUUGUGGAGGAUGUAGAAUCAGUGAAGCCAGCGGACUCGAGUUUACUUAUGAUAUCUGCGAAUGAAAAAGUAUUUAAUGUUGGUAGAAAUACUCAAACUGAGAAAAAAUCUAAUCCAUUAAAAUCCAGUCGGACUGGUCUGCAGAAGGGGGCGUCGAGAGUGAUUAUUGGUGUUCCCAGGCCUGGAAAAAAGAGAAAAUUUAUGGAAGUGAGCAAGCAUUAUGAUGCCGACACUCGGACUACUGAAGCAAAUGAUUCAGCUAAGUUGCAAGGGACAUCCAAAGGAUUAAAAAGAACUUUUAAAUAUGAAAUGAAAGAUAAAUCUGCAAACGAUGCAAAGCCCAUGGGUGCCAAGUCCGGAAAGCAGCCAAGUAUAUCAGAACAUGCAGUUAUCAGCAAGGAUCCUGAAAGCCAGAUUGAGAGUGCUUCAGGGAAGAACGACCAGAUGGAUGUUACUUCUUUCUGUAGCAUUGAAGAAGCACCAGAGGGCUCGGUCUUAUUUCCUCCAACACAUGCUCCCAAGAAAGCAUCCUCAUUUCACCAGAAGCCUGAACGGGCAAACAAAGGAAGACUUGCUCCCGCAGCUGGGAAAAUGGCAAAAAUUGAGGAAGAAAAGGUUUUCAAUGGGAAUCCGACGAAAUCAAAUUCAAAUGUUGUUGAGCCACGUAGAUCAAACCGCCGUAUUCAGCCUACAUCAAGAUUACUAGAGGGAUUGCAAAGCUCAUUGACGAUUUCGAAGAUUCCUUCUGUUUCACACGAUAAAGGUCACCGAAGCCAGAACAGGAAUGCAUCUAGAGGGAACAAAAUCUAAGAAGGCUAUUGGAACUUGGUUCUAGGCCAGGAAACGACCUCUGCCGAUCAUUUAAUGUGACUUUAACAGUAGUUUAUAUUGUUGUAUUUAAUAUAGAUAAAUGUAGGAAAGGAAACUCUUGCUUCCUUAGUUAUACUCCUACAAGUUUAGCUGUAGUUCAUAUUGAUUGAAGUUCCCUCACAUUUGUGUUCUCUCAAGCUCCUCCUCUACCAUAACAGGAUGUAUAUUGAAACUCUUCUUGUAGGUCGGUUGGAAUUCAAAAGAAGAAUCGAAGCAUCUACUCCGUUUCAUUCCGGUGCGGAGUUAAUAGAGACUUGGUGCAUUUUAUUUGUUACUUAUCCUCAUUAUUCACACUGCCAAGUACAACUAUUGAAGAAGUGGUCACAAGGUUCAGGUACAACUGAAAAUUUGUUUUCUUUGAACUAUUUGGAAAGAGUAAUGUUGGAUUCUUCUCUUAUGGUCACUUACCAGUAAAGUUUUCCAUGAAUUAGGAAUCCCUUUCUUUUGUGUGCUUAUAUUAUGUAUUGUAUGCCUAAGUUAUAGGUGGAGGUGUAUUGAAAAUGUAAAUGUUGGUUUGGCUUUUUAUAAAAUCUGAGAGUAAAAAUCAAUUAAUCA